CUAGGUGACGCGGAGGGACAUUAC
rnacentral:rRNA from 1 species